GACGAACGCUGGCGGCGUGCUUAACACAUGCAAGUCGAACGGAAAGGCCCUGCCUUUCUGGGGUGCUCGAGUGGCGAACGGGUGAGUAACACGUGAGUAAUCUGCCCUUGACUUUGGGAUAACUUCAGGAAACUGGGGCUAAUACCGGAUAGGAGCUCCUGCUGCAUGGUGGGGGGUGGAAAGUUUCGGCGGUUGGGGAUGGCCUCGCGGCUUAUCAGCUUGUUGGUGGGGUAGUGGCUUACCAAGGCUUUGACGGGUAGCCGGCGUGAGGGGGUGAGCGGCCACAUUGGGAGUGAGAAAGGGCAGAGACUCAUGCGGGGGGGAGGUGGGGAAUAUAGUGCAAUAUGGGCGAGAGCCAGGUAGAGCCGCGGCGUGGGGGGUGUCAGGCUCUUGGUUGUGUACUCCUCUUUCGACGGUGGAGGAGCGUGUGUGACGGUAAUGGGUAAAGAAGCACCGGCUAACUACGUG
rnacentral:rRNA from 1 species